CAGCAGCCGCGGUAAUACAGAGGGUGCGAGCGCUAAUCGGAUUUACUGGGCGUAAAGCGUGCGUAGGCGGCUUUUUAAGUCGGAUGUGAAAUCCCUGAGCUUAACUUAGGAAUUGCAUUCGAUACUGGGAAGCUAGAGUAUGGGAGAGGAUGGUAGAAUUCCAGGUGUAGCGGUGAAAUGCGUAGAGAUCUGGAGGAAUACCGAUGGCGAAGGCAGCCAUCUGGCCUAAUACUGACGCUGAGGUACGAAAGCAUGGGGAGCAAACAGGAUUAGAUACCCCCGUAGUCCCUGUCUCUUAUAC
rnacentral:rRNA from 1 species